rnacentral:sRNA from 1 species
AUGAAUGCCUUACUCUCAGAUAUUUGCGUAGCAACCUCAGCUGCCCCAACUUAUCUUCCAACUUAUUACUUUGAAACUGUAGACCCCAAGGGAAAUGUGAGAAUUUAACCUUACAGAUGGUGGUGUUGCUGCUAAUAAUCCGGUAUAUGUCUUUUUCAAACUUCACAUGACUCCUAAUGAUUAUUAUAUAUAAUAAAUUUCCUAAUAUUUUUUUAUUAUAAACUUGUUUAAAAAAUAAUAAAUUUAAUCAUUUAAUUUAGCAGUAUUAAAUUGGGGCAAAAACGCAGCUAUAGUGUUUCCUAUAGCUGCAGGUUUUAAUUGCAACUAUAGGUUGAUCAAAUUUUUUUUUAUUUUUUUGAAAAGGGGCCUUUCAAAACACGGCUAUAGCCUGCCUACAGUUGUGUUUCAGUAAAUUGUGGCUUAAACCAUGUCUGUAGCUGUGUUUCUUUAAACGCGGCUACAAGUUUGGUAUAAAUUAAAAAAAAAAAAAAAAAAAAAAACCCUAUUCCUCUGCCUAAUAAUUCGUUUGGUGAAAGGGAAAAGUUUUUGCCCCAUGCAGAAAUAACUCACCCUAUGGCAAGAUUGUCAAAAUCAGGAUCUUACAUAAGAUUGUGGGAGGUAGGUGGGAUUGUAGAUAGUAGGAUCGGAUCAGAUCAUAGAUCGUAAGAUUGUACAUUAUUUGAGAAAAAAACAAAAAAUACUCAUUGGUAUGUUAAAUAAUCAUAUAAAUUAUACGUUCAUUGAUAUAAUUACCAUAUAUCACUACAUCCAUUUGUAAGCAUCAUUUAAAAUGUCAAAAACCUCAAAAUGUGACACUCUAUUGAGAUAUUUUUUUAUUUAGGUCCAACUAAUACUCUUUACAUUAAAGUGGAAAAACUUGGUCUAUUAAGAUUUUAUUUUUUAUUUAUUUUUUAUUAAGUCAUGUUUGAAAUUGAAAAGUUUUUUUUUUUUUUUUCUUAAAGGAAAAAAGAAAAAAAGAUUGAUGAUAUCUAGGCAAUAAAAUAAAACAAAAUGUAAGCAUUUACAUAUACAAGAACAUGUGAGUACUUGUCCUCACUCCACUUGACAUGAAUAUGAUCUAUAAUAACACUAAAAAGUCUAAAACCAUACGUUUUAAGUAUCAUACAGAUUAAUAUAAUUCAUACCACUUUUAAAACUCUAAAAUAAAAUUUUGGUGACUUUUUGAGUGCAAGAUGCCAAGAGUAUUGACCCUUUCAUAUGAGACAAUUUUCAAUUCCUCUGCCUAAUAAUUCGUUUGGUGAAAGGGAAAAGUUUUUGCCCCAUGCAGAAAUAACUCACCCUAUGGCAAGAUUGUCAAAAUCAGGAUCUUACAUAAGAUUGUGGGAGGUAGGUGGGAUUGUAGAUAGUAGGAUCGGAUCAGAUCAUAGAUCGUAAGAUUGUACAUUAUUUGAGAAAAAAACAAAAAAUACUCAUUGGUAUGUUAAAUAAUCAUAUAAAUUAUACGUUCAUUGAUAUAAUUACCAUAUAUCACUACAUCCAUUUGUAAGCAUCAUUUAAAAUGUCAAAAACCUCAAAAUGUGACACUCUAUUGAGAUAUUUUUUUAUUUAGGUCCAACUAAUACUCUUUACAUUAAAGUGGAAAAACUUGGUCUAUUAAGAUUUUAUUUUUUAUUUAGGUCCUACAAGUCAUGUUUGAAAUUGAAAAGUUUUUUUUUUUUUUAAAGAAAAAAAUAUUGAUGAUAUCUAGGCAAUAAAAUAAAACAAAAUGUAAGCAUUUACAUAUACAAGAACAUGUGAGUACUUGUCCUCACUCCACUUGACAUGAAUAUGAUCUAUAAUAACACUAAAAAGUCUAAAACCAUACGUUUUAAGUAUCAUACAGAUUAAUAUAAUUCAUACCACUUUUAAAACUCUAAAAUAAAAUUUUGGUGACUUUUUGAGUGCAAGAUGCCAAGAGUACUGACCCUUUCAUAUAAGACAAUUUUCGAUUCCUCUGCCUAAUAAUUCGUUUGGUGAAAGGGAAAGUUUUUGCCCCAUGCGGAAAUAACUCACCCUAUGGCAAGAUUGUCAAAAUCAGAAUCUUACAUAGGAUUAUGAGAGGUAGGUUGGAUUGUAGAUAGUAGGAUCGGAUCGAAUCGUAGAUCAUAAGAUCCUACAUUAUUUGAGAAAAAAAUAAAAAAUACACAUUGGUAUGUUAAAUAAUCACAUAAAUUAUACAUUCAUUGAUAUAAUUACCAUAUAUCACUACCUUCAUUUGUAAGCAUCAUUUAAAAUGUCAAAAAUCUCAAAAUGUGACACUCUAUUGAGAUAUUUUUUUAUUUAGGUCCAACUAACACUCUCUACAUUAGGGUGGAAAAACUUGGUCUAUUGAGAUUUUAUUUUUCAUUUAGGUCCUACAAAGCCUUCUGUCAAGUUAAAGAAGAUUACAAGAAACGAAGGUCGUUUGAGAUGGUUAGAAUUGUACGAUUCUAUCGAUCCUGAACGAUCACUAAGAUCUUUAAAAGAUUUAGAUCGUUUUAGGUAGGUGGGAUCGUAAAAUCGUAGGAUCGGGAUUUUAACCUUGGUACUUUUUUUUUUUUUUUCCUUUAUUCAGAUUAACCCUGGAUGAGAAAGUGACUGCAAAUGAUGGGGCUGAAUUGUACUAACAUUUACUUUGAUUUGGUCAUGAAAAUAGGUAAAGAACAACCUAAGCAUGAAUGCCUUACUCUUAGAUAUUUGCAUAGCAACCUUAGCUACCCCAACUCAUCUUCCAACUUAUUACAUUGAAACUAUAGACCCCGAGAAAAAUGUGAGAGAAUUUAACCUUACAGAUAGUGGUGUUGCUGCUAAUAAUCCGAUAUAUGUCUUCUUCAAACUUCACAUGACUCCUAAUGAUUAUUAUAUAUAAUAAAUUUCUUAAUAUUUUUUUUAUUAUAAACUUGUUUAAAAAAUAAUAAAUUUAAUCAUUCAACCGCCAUUUUAAUACAACUAAAUUAGUGCAAAAACGCGGCUAUAGUGUUUCCUUGUAGUCGCAAGUUUUAAUCGCAGCUAUAGGUUGAACAAAUUAUUUUUUUUAAAAAGGGUCUAUAGCCGCGUUUUGAUAGCCUGCCUACAGAUGCGUGUGUUUCAGUAAAAGGCGGUUUAAACCAUGUCUAUAGCUGCGUUUCCUUAAACGCGGCUAAAGGUUUGGUAUAAAUUUAAAAUAUUAAAAAAAAAAAAAAAAACCCUCAGUUUAUUCUCUCUCUAAUCCGGUCUCUCACUCUCUUCCUUUGACUCCAAACCCUCACCGCCAAUCCACCCCUCUACCACCUAUCCUCCCCACCAUGGCCGAAGCCUUUCAUAUCUCAGCCUCAACUUCUCUCUAAAACCAAAACCUAUAACCUCUCUCACUCUGGAUCGGUCUCACCCUCUCUUCGAUGUAAACGAGGCACAGCCUCCUAGCUCCGUCGUGAAGCCCAGCCGCCACCACCACGAUGGUGGUUCCCAACCUCUCAUCACUUCACGGAUCUGCCAAGAACCGUGGCAAAUCCAGUUCCAGUUCCAGGACCAGGUCGUUAAAAUUAUCGGGUUGAUUUCGAUCCAACCGUUUUUCGGAGGAGAGGAGAGAACAGAUUCCAAUCGUUUGGUUGGAACGAACUGAUUGGCUUUGGAAGGUGUUUUUGCCUCAAGGGUCGGAUAAGGAUCGUGAAGCAGUCAAUGUGAGUGGGCCCAACGCGGUUGAUAUUUCGGGUUUGGAGUAUCCGGAAACGGUUGUGUUUGUUGGGGGAUUCGACCCGUUACAGGAUCGGCAGAGGAGUUACUAUGAGUGGUUGAAGAAAUCUGGGAAACAGGCUCGCUUAAUCGAGUAUCCAGACAUGAUGCAUGCGUUUUAUGUGUUUCCGGAAUUGCCUCAGUCGUCUCAGUUGAUAGCACAGGUCAAGGAUUUUGUUUCUCAUAAAUGCAAAACUUCCGAUUCUUAUUAACUUUAUUCCAUGCGUCUUAUGGAGUCUUUGCUUUUCAUGUAACAUAAAGUAAAUUUAUAUGCACCCAUUUCAAUACUGAUGGCCAUUGUGCUUUGGUAUCCAUUAUAAAUCUUCUUUUGCGGAAUAAUAAUAUUACUACUAAAUUUUUUUUGAUGUUUUAAUAGGGUUGAAAAAAAAAAUAUGAAACUUAAUUGUAAUUAAAAAAAAAAAAAGCUUUUCCUUAAUACCUAGAUAUUAACCGGUUUGAUAGUUUUGUUUCUCUAUUUGUGUUCUUUUCUCUCCACGGAUGCUAAAUAGUAAAUAUAUGCCCAGAUAAGCCUGUGUUUUCUCAUUUAGACCACUGUACUAAUUUGCUGCAGAAGAUAACAAUAAAGAGACUGAGCUACAAUUCUCAUAUGAUGAGGAGACACUAGUUAAUUAAUAUAGUCAAAACCUGAAAUUUAAACUGUCAAUUAAUACAGUCCAAACCUGAAAUUUAAACUGUUUUUGCUACCUUUUUAUUAUAAAUAAAAUGAAAACUAGACCACUAGUCUCUAGUUGAAAGGUGGGCACAUACAGUUUCAUUUCAUUAAACUUGGUAUUAAUGCUUCAGCUUUUAUAUAAUGAUGUCGCGGAAGCCUAAAAAAAAGCACACACGAUGCUCUCUUGAUGAAACAGAAACUAAACUGUUAGUUUCUGGUAGUAAACCUCGAAUCCACGAGGGGUUUCCCUGAAUCCACAAUGAGAUAAAACUGGAAUCCGCCAGAAGAGAAAAUUGACAAAAUGUCUGUGUUUUUUGAUAAUAGUCUGAUUUGCCUCUUACGAUUACAAAACAUAUAAAUACUGAGCAAAAACGUUUAAAACCCUAAUUCGCACUAAUUAAGCGAUUAGGUGACAAAAUUACCGAAUUUUACCAAAAAUGGCAAAAUUGAGUUAAACGCAGAAUCAUAAACUACUGACCUUAAGGGUCGUCCCAAAACAAACGGGGCCUUAUUCUGACUUUUAAACUAAAAGUUAUUAAGGAAAAACAAAUAUUACUAUAAAUAGAAAAACAUUGUUUUCGGGGCCUUAACGAAGGAAUUUGCCUAAAAUUUGGCAACGUUCAUGGCAUCAUGAGUCUGGAUCAGAACGCCGUUUCCCUUCAACCUGUCAAAUUUCAUGCAAUUCCGACACUGUUACCUCUUAUGGCCCCUACUGGCACCCCCCUUUGAUCUUGCGUUGUGACUUCCUGUGCUCUUGCUGCUCCAAGAAAGCAUGUGCUGUCUGUUCUACAUCAGUCCCCCCCACUUGAAAAGAACUCGACCCCGAGUUCCCACUAUCCGGUUCAUCAAGAGGAUGAUAAUCAUACAAGUCAGCAACAUUGAAGGUAGAAGAAAUGCUCAUAUCUGGAGGAAGAGCAACCACAUAAGCAUUGUUGUUGAUCUUCUUAGUAAUCUGAAAUGGCUAAAAAAAAAAAAAAAAAAAAGAGAGCUAGAGAAAGAAUGAGAGAGCUCCAGUGGAGUAGAUGAAGAGAAGAAAAGAAAAAAAGGAAAGUGAAGGAGCUCAGACGAAGUGCCAGAGAACAAAAGAAAAAAGAAAAGUGAAGAUAAAGAUAAGGGAAAGGUGUGGAGGAGAAAAAAAGAGGAAAAAAGAAAAGAAAAGAAACGUGUGGAUGAAAAAAAAAAAAAAGAUAAGGGAAAAAUAAAAAAUCCUAAUUGAAAAAUACUACCACAAUAUUUUUACAAUAUUUUCACAAUAAAUUUUAAGUAACAGAUUGUUAUUAGUUAAUAUUGAUGAGUAAAAAAAUAAUUUCAGUGGCGGGUUUAAAUUAGAACUAGUAACAACUUUCCACAUAAAUUUUGUUGUGAAAGUAUUGCGUAAAAUGUUAUGAACAUAGCACUUCUCAUUGAAAAAUAUAGUUGUUAAAAAAAGAAUAAAUGAUGAUUAAAAAAAGAAUAAACAAUAUAUGAAGAAAUAAUAUUUAAAUGGGAUAGAGAAUCUGUUAGAAAGUGUAUUUGAAAAAGUGGAUAGGUAAAAGCUAAAUGUCACUGUUCAUUCUCCAAACAGGCAAAAAUUAGGCAAAAAUUUGGAGAGGCUGCUGAAGAUGCUCUUAUUAACUUUAUUCCAUGCAUCUUAUGGAGUUUAUGCUUUUCAUGUAACAUAAAGUAAAUUUAUAUGCACCCAUUUCAAUACUGAUGGCCAUUCUGCUUUGGUAUCCAUUAUAAAUCUUCUUUUGAGGAAUAAUAAUAUUACUACUAAAUUUUUUUGUGUUCUUUUCUCUCCACGGAUACUAAAUAGUAAAUAUAUGCCCAUAUAAGCCUGUGUUUUCUCAUUUAGACCACUGUACUAAUUUGCUGCAGAAGAUAACAAUAAAGAGACUGAGCUACAAUUCUCAUAUGAUGAGGAGACACUAGUUAAUUAAUAUGGUCCAAACCUGAAAUUUAAACUGUUUUUGCUACCUUUUUAUUAUAAAUAAAAUGAAUACUAGAACACUAGUCUCUAGUUGAAAGGUAGGGCACAUACAGUUUUUAUAUAACACUUUUUGGCUUAAUCAUUUGAUCCUCAAGUUUUUGUUUUUGUUUUCUUCUCCCUGUUGACAUUUUGUCAUAUGAAUUUCAUUUAUGCAAAUUUCAUUUACAUAAUUUCUUUCGUAAUCUAAAUGAUUAUAUAAUUGGAGUUAAACCACAAACUCGGGGGUACCUUUUGCAGCCAGCCUCCCCUCCUCAGUGCUAUGGUUCAUGCCAUAUACAGCAGGCUAGUGAUAUGCAAUUGGUUAGAAAAUCUCUCCUUGCACUUCUCAAAGAGUAUCACUUUUGGAAUUCAGGUACCAUAAUAUAUAUUUUCUUUGAUUUUAAGUGGAAUUAUGUUUACAUUUCUUCCUAGCUUCAUUUUUUGUGGCUUGAACUUUUUUAACUAUUUCCUUUUCUGCUGUUGUAGGAAUACAUAAGGUGACCAUUCAAGAUGCUCACUCUUGCAACCACACCUUGAAUCGGUAUUAUGCAAUGUGGAACAAACCCAGGCCUGAAUCUUCAACAAUUGUAUGUCCUUCUACCUAGCUUCAUGCCUUAGCAUAAGAUCUUUUGUAUAUAUAAAUGGUGGAUAACAUUUAGAGGUGUAAUCUUUAACCAAUUUUUAUCUCGCAGGACACAAAAUCUGCUUCCAACAUCUCAAAUGUCUCUGAAAAAUAGUAUAAAUGUGAUAAUUAUGAAAAAUAGUUUCUUUGUUUUCCAUUCUCCUGUCAGAAAAAAAUGAGUCUUGGUUCAAACUAUGAGAGCACCUUUGCAAAGCCAUUGCACAAGAUAUCCAUACUGAUGUUGAUCUGGUGGAUUCAAUUUAUGGUUUAUUUGAUGCAGGGGAAAAAGUGUCAAAAACUGUUUUGAGUAAUGAAUCUAUUAUAACGCCUUUAACCCAUGCAAAAUAGACGUAGAAAACUAAUCUUAAUAACAAUCAUUAAUACGCCAUCUACAAUUCUCAAGGAUAUUCUAUUCAUAAAAUUCCUUUUCUUGAAUAUGCGUGGAUAACUAGCAAACAUUUAGGAUUGAAUUUUAUCAUAAAAUUUCUUCUUUAAUAACAUUCUAGUUAUGGCAUACCUUAAUGGCAUUGGAGUACAAAUUAUUAGACAAGUUUAUUGUUCUGUGCUGCAUAAGCUUAAAUCUUGUUCUUUUGAAUCGAAAAGCAAAAUUUUAUUUUGUUUAUCAUCAAUAUUCUAUUUUGAUGUUUGAAUUAUUCUACCUUUUGUUGCUCAUACCUUCCUUACCAAUGAAUUUAGUUUUUCAAAUCUGUUUCUUGAAAUAUCCAAAACUGUUUAGUAAAGUGUGAUGUUAUAUUACAAGUUUUUGUUUUUCAUUUAAAGGUUUAUUUAUUUGAUGUGAUUCACUGAAACCUAUUAAGUCAUGUAGCAGGACGGUUCAUUACUUCAGCGUAUAGGUUAAUUCUUCAUCUUUCUAAAGAUUUUAUUUUUUAUUUUUUAAAUAUUCAUAUUUGCUCCAUUUUUAUACUUUGUUGUAUUAUGCUGCAAUUAAGUUUUGAAAUUUUGAUUAAUUUUUCAUUUUUAUUUUUGAUUGUAAUAAUGGAAUAGGAAAUUUUUUGAUGAUGUACGAGUAAGUGAAUUAUGUACUGAAGUAUGAGUACACUAUUUCGUCAGAUUGACUUUUCCCUAAUCAGAUAUCUUAAAAAUACACUCCACUUAAAUGCAAUAGAAACAAAAGGGUCAUCUUGUACGUCAAAGUGUCCCUUGUGACUUACUUUUAAAGGUUAAUGGCCAUUUCAUUAGAGGCUUAGAGCAACCCCAUCAGGUCAUCUAAAGUCUUCUAAAAUAGAAAAAAGUACAAAUUUUACACAUUUUGAACAAAAAAACACCUACAUUAGUGGGUGUAAAAAUGUGUAAAACUGUGUAUAUAUUUCCAUGAGCUGCAGUACUUGUGUAUAUUUACACAGGUACUGUAGCUCGUUUAUAUAUUAAAAUAAUAUUAUCUUUGUACAGUAUAAAAACUUCUUUUUCGCUCUUUUUUCUCUCUCUCCUCUCACUGAGCACACCAACGCCUCAGGUCUCAACUUCUCUCUCCCUAUUUCAUUCCUGAGCUCUUCCUCUCAUCUUCUCUUUUCGUCUGCUUUUUAUCAGUUUUUGCUCAUUCUCAUCACCACGGGAAAUAAUAAUGUGAUUGGUUUGGGGGUUUUGCAGGGUGGAUCAAUUGACAGACUUAUCUUCUCUAUUGACAAACUUUGGAGCUAAUUUCUCUAAAAAGGUAUAGGUUUUUCUCAUUGAGAUUUUAGGGUUUUUUUGCUUUUUGGUUUCAAGCAAGAUUCUUGGGAGUUUCUCUAAACUAUUUGUUUUUAGGGUUUCUUGUUUCAAAUUUUUCUGGUUUGGGGUUUUUUUUAGGGAUUCUUUAGAGCACACCCGAAGUUUAUUUUUGGAAUUUAUUAGUAUUUCAGAUUUUGUGUGUAUUUAUAUUUGAUUAUUUUAGAGUUCAGGUAAGGAUUAAAUUCUAUGUCUUUUGAUAGGGAUUAGUUUCCCCGUGUGUAGGGAGUGUUUGAAGAAUUUAGAGUUUUUAAACUUGUAUUAAAUUUCUAUUUCUCUCCUGUUUUCGGACUGAUUGAACAGGGUAUAUACUUAGUUAUAUACUUAGUUUUCGGAUUGUUUUCCCUGUGCUGAUUUGGUGGAGUCUAUUAUUACUUAUUUAUAAACUACUUCAACCUGAUGUUAAAGGUUUACAUUGAUUUUGGAUGUUUCUUUGGGAUAUACUUAAGAAACAUAUACUGUUUGUUGGCCAUGAAAAAACUGUCUAGUAUGUCUUUGCCUGUGGAGCAAUUUUAAUUUAGGACUGAUCUUUAAUUUUUUAUUUUUAUUCUAGGACUAAUCUUAUAGGUUGCAAGCAGUAUAGCUAACUACUUGUCUUUCUGUCUCCCUUUUGCAAGCCAAAUUUGAUAAAAUCUCAAUCUUUUUUUAGUUCUUCAUUUGAGAAUAAUUUGUGGGAAAUCGGUUUAAAUUUUGGUUUAUUUUUGAAUUCUGUUGAAUAAUCAUUAUUUCUAAGGUUGAAUUCCAUGUGGGUUUUAUCUUAAAGCUGAAGAAUUGUGCUUGUAGUUGUCGUUUUGGUUUUUUUUUUUUUUAUGUGUUUUGUUGGUGGGGUUGAAAGUGAGGGUUUUGAUUUUGAUUUUUAUUUUUGUUGCUGAGGUUUGAUUUUCUUGUGUUUGUACAUGAAUUGAUCAAUGAAUUAGCCCAUAAGGGUUCUUAGUUGUGAUUGUGGAAUUUGAUUAACUCUGUGCAAUUAAAUGAAUUUUGGUUAUUGUAAUGCAUGUGAGUUUCCUUGAUUCUGUGUUAAUAUAAGUACAAAUGCAUAUGGGUUUUACUUGAGAGUUGAGAGUUAUGUUGAUAAUGUUAGUGUUUUAGACAUGGAUGGAUCAUGUGUCAAUGGGGACGGUUGGUGUUCUUUGAUCAAAUUCUUGUGUUCAUCUUCUUAGUUCGUGAGGUUUCUUUUAGUUUCUGAAUGAUGGAGAAGCUCUAUUAUAGAUCUCGUACUAUUUACCUUUGUGUUUUCAGCGAGUUAUACUCUUAAAUCUAUAUUAAACAAUGCCUUUUCUUUUUUGUUUUCAAUUUUGUUGCUAAUUAGUGCUACUUCUGAAUUACUUUGGUGAUUGUUAGGUGAUGGACUUACAAAAUCAAAAUCUCUUCUUCCUUGACAUUUUUCAAGACAAUAAACAAGGUUUUGAGUCUUUUGACAGUAGUAUUUUGAUGUCCACUUCACAUUCAGACGUGAAUGUCCAUGAAUCUCCACCCCAAGUUGAAAUGGGACAAUCUAUACCUCCCAUUGCAAAAAAAUCAACUACUAAGAAAGGUCAACGGAGAAUCAACUUCACCAUAGAUGAAGACAUUAAACUAGUGUCGGCGUGGCUUAAUGUUAGCUUAAAUGCCGUGACAUCGACGGACCAAAAACACAACAUUUUGGGAUGAAAUUUGGUCCACCUUCCACAAUGACAAGAAAUUUAACCGCAACAAGGAUUCUUUAAAUAGUCAGUGGUCAACCAUUUAAAGGGAAACCAACAAGUUUUGUGAAUGCUUGGCCCAAAUUGAGUACCGGAAUGAAAGUGGUAAAACUGAAUAUGACAAGGUAUUUCAACUCAACAUCUAAUAUGUAUUGUAUAUCAAUACACUUUUAGUUUUAUGAUUCUCAUUAUUUACUUUUGUAGAUUGAAGAUGCAAAAGCUAUGUAUCAAAGUAAUUGCAAAAAUGCAUUUCAAUUGGAACAUUGUUGGAGAAUUUUGAGGAAUGACGCUAAGUGGUUGAUUUUAAGAGAGAAUUUGAAGGCCUGCACAAGACAACCAGCCACACAAUAAAUGCAGAUAAUGAUAAUGAUGAGAUGAACACCGACGAAACUUUGGAGAGACCCAUAGGCAAGAAGGCUGAAAAGGAGAAAUUAAAGAAAAUAAAGAAUUGUGAUGACGUGGUUUCAAUACUUUUCUCCCAAUUGGACGAAAUCAAGGAAGAAAAGAGGAGAAUGCAUGAGGAGAAAAAGGAAAGUAUGCGCAUUGCAUUAGAAGAACGAAGAGAGUUAAUGCGCAUUGCAUCCGAAAAAUGAAGAGAGUUUAUUUGUAUCAAGGAAGAAAAGAGUGAAAAGUUGAUUCAUAUCAAGGAAAAUGGAAGAUGAAAUUAUGAUGAAAGAUACAAGAAUCAUGAUCCUGAGCAAAAAGAAUAUAUUUGUCUACGUCGUUUGGAAAUCUUGGAGAGGUUAAGGUCUAAAUUUCCAUCAUAAUUUGAAUAUUAUUAUUGACAAUAUCUAAUCAAGUAAUUUUUUGUAUAGUGCAAAGAUACUAGCACAUGGUUGACAUAGAUGAUUUGAUGUUAGACAUCUCUUUUGUAGUAUUUACUUGUACAGAGAACAUGAUUAUUCAAUCUCUAAUCAUGUUAGAUAUAUUUUUGUAGUCUUCACUUGUGCAAGGAAAUAGAUGCAAUGUUGUAAAUUUUGUAUUGUGCACGGACAAUAGCACUUAAUUAUUCAAUUUAAUUUGUGAUUCUGUUCUUGUCAUUCCGUUUUUGGUGAAGUAAUGUCUCUGUUGAAUGUGGCUGUACUUGCUGAUUUUAUUGGUUGUAUAUGCUAUUUGAAUGUAAAUAGCACUUUCUCAACAGAUUUCUGCAUAAUGUUAUUUUUCUGCACUUUCUCAACAGGUGGUUGUACUUGCAUAGUGUUAUUUAUCUGCAUAAUUAUUUGUUUCUGCAGAAACUGUUUUGUUUUUCUGCAUAUUUCGUGCUUCUUGCUUCUACAUAUACUAAUUUACUAAGCAAAUAAGCUUUGUUGAAUAGCUGCAGUUGUGUUAAAAAUGACCAAUGAUUAGAAUAGUAUCUAGUGUAAGUUUACAACUAAACUUAAGUUGACAAACUUACCUAAGGGUCUGUCAACUUAAAGUUAAAAAAUAUGACUUUUAGGUUUAAAGUUAAAAAAAAAAAAAAAAAGACAUUUAGGUUUGAAUUUACCAUUGGUUUUAAAGUUAAAAAAAAUAUGACUUUUAGGUUUGAAUUUACCAUUGGGUUUAAAGUUAAAAAAAUAUGACCUUUAGGUUUGAAUUUACCAUUGGGUUUAAAGUUAAAAAAAAUAUGACUUUUAGGUUUGAAUUCACCACUGGGUUUAAAGUUAAAAAAAUAUGACCUUUAAGUUUAAAUUUAUCAUUGGGUUUAAAGUUAGGUUUGAAUUAUCGUUUAAAUUUCAAAAUUAUGACCGGUGGAUAUAACAAAAAAAAUUAUGACCGUUGGGUCAAAAAAAAAAAAAUGACCGUUGGUUAGAGACAUCGAUUCGGUCACCGAUUCUAGCAAUACAGUGGUCGAAGACAUCGAUUCGGCGGCGGUCGUUGGAGCCACUAUUACAACAAUCGGCCCAUUGGUGAUGGCGGUACAAUGGUCGGAGACACCAAUCUGGUGGGCAGUUACCAAAGCUACUAUUUUGGUAGUUUAGGUAUCGGCGGCGUUUGUCGAAACCACUAUUUUAAUAAUCCACCCAUUAGUGGGUCACUAUUCGGCGGUACAGUGGGCGGCAAGACCAAUCCGGCGGCAUUCGCCCGAGUCACUAUUUUGGCGGUUUGGCCAUCGAACCUCCACCACAAGUGGCUCCAUUGGCUGAGCCACCGGUGUUGAUUGUUUACUUAAAAUAUAAGUUUAAAUUAAAAAAAAAUAUGACCAUUAGGGAAAAUAAUAAAAAAUUGAUAAAGAAUGAAUAUUUUAUUGAAAAGUCUUGUAAAAUAGAUAAACUGAUGUAGGUGUUUUGUAAAUAUGAUGGUGUAAAAUAGAAAAAGUAAGUUUUUUUGUAUAAAAUAGACGGAAUCUUUUCCACAAGCUGAUGUGGUUGCUCUUAGUGAUUUGGUUCAUUUUUACUUUUCCUCUUUCAAACAGCCAAGAAGGGGGUGCUUUGAAAUACGAGAAAAAGGUGGCGAGACAUUCAUUAGUCUUCUGGUAAACAAUACAAAUUUAUUUGUGUGUUUUUUUUUUCCAUUGUGUUUACCUUUAGAUGCAUUAUGCAUGUCAAAUCUGGUUUUCCUCAGUAUGUUGUUCUUAUGAUGGAUGUUGAUGUAAUUAACUUGAAUUUUCUGCCCCUUGGAAUUUUUUUUUUUUUUUUUUUUUAGAAACAAACACACACACACAUAAGAGAGAGGAAAAAGGGAUCUAAUACAAAAGCACACCACAACUCCACUCAAAAGUCAUGAUAACUUUUAAGGGAGGGUGAGGCAAAUUAUACUACACACAACACACCCUCUUAAUCAAUGUGGGACAAUUAUCCAUUCUUUUUUUUUAAGAAACACACACACACACACACACAUACACACACACACACAUAAGAGAGAAGGAAAUAGGUUCUAACACAAAGGCACACCACAACUCCACUCAAAAACCAUGAUAACUUUUAAGGGAGGGUAGGACAUGUUAUACUACAUACCAUUGAUUGCAAUAAUGAAUUACAGUUUUGUUGUGCAGUUUUGUUGUUGAAAGGCUGCAAGGAAUUGUCUCAUGAGAAUAUUAGGUAUGUGAUUGGGCAGGGGGGAAAAAAAAACUAUAUUCACGUUUUUAAAAACGCAGCUAUAGGUCAAAGCCUACAACCGUGUUUCCAUAAGUGAAACUAUAGGCCCGCAGAGCUAUUAUCGAGUAGUAUUUACAAAUGCGGCUGUAAAAAACGCAGCAUUUUUAGGGUCUAUAGCUGCGUUUUAUAAACACAGCUAUAGGCCUCAUUUUUUGUAGUAUAUACUAUGAUUUUCCCUUUAAAAAAUUGUGUUGCAUGGAUUUUGAAACCUUAUUAUUAAAUAUUGUUCACUAGUCGUCUAGUCCCUUAAUUUGAAGUGCAUGAAAGAGUCUGAGGAGCUUCUCUUGAAAUAAAAAACUAUGGUGAACAAACCUAAUGAUUUGUUUUAUAAGUGAAUAUAAAGAGAAUGAUUUGGACUUUAUUAUUUAGUUUCAAUGACUUGAAUAUAGAGUAUGAAGUUAUUAUAUAAUUUUUUUUUUAUUGUUGAAAUUUAUGAAGAGAAUUUCCCUUUGUUAAUACGUGCAUUUGAAGUGAAUAUAUAAAGAUGUCAUUUCAAAUCCAUAUUAUCACGUGUGUUUUUGCUCAAGCAAAAUUUUCAAAGCUCACAUCAUCAUGUGUUGUUAAAUUUAUAUUAAGCAAUUUAUGAUUACAAUCGUUUUUUAGAUCCCUUAAAUGUAAAUCCUCAAAUUGAAAUGCAACCUAAGAGAAAAUUCUAACUUCAUGCAGGUGUAAAAUUUCCCUUGUUUGGAUGCUCGAUUGUCUGACAUAUGCAUCAGUACUUCAGCAGCUCCAACUUAUCUUCCUACCUACCAAUUCAAGAACCAAGAUAAUGAAGGGAAUGUUCGAAAAUUCAAUCUUAUAGAUGGUGGUGUUGCUGCAAACAAUCCGGUAUAUAAUCAUUUAGAGAGAAAGUUAAUUUUAAAUUGCAUAUUUGAUGCUCAACUUUUGACAUUUAUCUAUUGAAUUGAAUUCGUGAAAUUGAGUACAUUGAUAAUAUGGAGCUUAUGAUAUGGCAUGAAUUAUGUUUGCCAUAUUGCAUUUUUCAUCAACCAAAUGAUGUUAAAAUUUUUUUUUUUUUGAAAUAUUGAAAGUAGAGGGAUUAAAAUGAAACAUUUUAAAGCAUAUAGACGAUUUUGUUAAGAAAAGAUCAAAAGUUGAGAACAAAAUAUGCAAUUUAUUCUAAGUUAAAAGUUUCAACACAAGAAAGCCUAAUCUUUAUAGUGUUUUUCUUUUCUUUUUGGCACCAUGGUCUAGACAUUAGUAGCCAUAAACCAAGUGACUAAACAGGUCUUCAAAGAAAAUCCUGAUUUCUUCCCAAUUAAACCCAUGGACUAUGGCCGCUUUCUAGUAAUUUCAGUAGGCACCGGCUCACCAAAGACAGCAGAAAAAUACAAUGCUAAAAAGGCAGCCAGGUGGGCCACUCUGGGUUGGUUACAUCACGGUGGUUCUGUUCCACUAGUGGACGUGUUUACUCAAGCAAGUGCAGAUAUGGUUGAUGUCCAUAUUGCUGUGCUGUUCCAAGCUCUUCGUUCAGAAAAUAAUUACCUUCGAAUUCAAGUAAGAAAAAUUCUGGUUUCUCUCUAGGUUUUUAUGUUGAAUUCAUAUAAAGUUAUUUAGUAUUGACUAGUCUUUGGAAAUAUGACAUUAGGAUGACACCUUGACCGGGACAGAUGCUUCAGUUGACGUGUCUACAAAACAAAACUUGGAAAAACUUUAAUAUAGAGGAGAAAGAAUAUUGAAGAAACCAGUAUCACGGGUGAAUUUAGGGGCCAAAAGUGUAUUUUUGCCUUUAUUUAUUUAUUUAUUUUUUUUUUUUUCUUGUUAAAUGUGUAAUAAGGUGAGCUAUAUGAUUUUGAAGAAGAGCACUACUUCAGAAUCUUAAUCAAGUCCAAAAACAAAAACAUAAAAAAUAUAAUCAAUGAAACCGAAAUUAAUUGUGAACCUGCAAAUGCAUUGUGACUCGUGAGCAAGAUCUAGAUUUUAGAUAGUUUCGAUUAAUUUAAUCCAAUCUCACACCCUAAUUGAAAUUAAGAAUAUAUUGGAAAAUAAGUUGUACCAAACUAACACUAAAUUAACAUUUUAGAUUUGGAUUUACUAUUAAUUAGAUCUUAUUUAAUAAAUUUAAUGUGUAUAAAUACUUUUAAAAAAUGACUAUAAUUUAAAAUUUAACCAAAAUUUGGUAAACUAUAUGAAUAUUUUGAAACUUAUUAUUGUGACGAGAAUAGGAAUUUCAAUCAAAUGUUUAAAAAUAUCAAAAAGAGUAGAAUCUUAAUAUACUUAGUGUGCGUUUGGCAAGUGCGUUUUGCGCUUCCCACGUCCACGUUUUGUGUUUUCAUUUUUUUUUUUUUUUCAAAAGCCACGAUUGUUGACUUUGGCGUGUGAAUAGUGCUCCUAUAGUAACUUUUGCAGCAAAUGUUCAGCCACUUUUCAGUAAUUUUUCAGCAACUUUUCAGUCAUGAGACCUACAAACUUCACUUUUUAACAACUUUUUUAUUAAAAAUGGGUCUCAUAAUACUAUUCACAUAUUUAAAAAUUGUUUUGCUACAGUAUUUUUCAGUUUUCAGUUUUCAGCUGUAUCCAAACAGACCCUUAGUAAUAUACAACCAUACCUAUGAGAUGAUAGAUUUUGAUAAGAUAAGUAUGAGUUGCUCAAAACGAACACUAAGGCUGUGUUUGUUUUGGCUUCAAAUUACUUCCGGAAAUGUUUUUCCGUAAAACUUGAGUGUUUAAUUGAACCAGUAAAUUCAAUCAAUUGAAAUGGUUUUUCCCUUUGACCAUAAAAUAACUCAAAACACUCGGAAAUGAUUUUUUAUUUAUAUUUUCACUUCAAACCAUUUCCACUCUCCUCAGAAAAUUUCUCUCCUUACUCACUCUCACCACUCAUGCCAAGCCCAAGCCGAAGGACAAAGAGAGCUAUCGUCAAUGAAGCCCAGAUCCAAUCCCAGAUGUGCCGACGAGAGUGAGCUAGAUCGAACCAAACCCCAGACGUGCCGGGCGGCGAGAUCGAGCCUUCGAGAUCACGCCUACGAAAUCGCGCUGUCCUCCUCUAGGUCAGAUCAUCACCUUCGAGAUCGUUCUAUCAAGAUCGCGCCUUUGAUUUUUGAAUCGGGUCUGAUCAUCGCCAUCGCCGCCGCCGCCCUCUAGAUCGCGUCGUCCUCCUCUGGAUCAAAUCAUCUCCUCUUGAUCUCGUCGCCGCAGCCCUCUCGAUCUCAUCAUCUGCCACUCACCAAUCUACUUUCUGUCUUUGAUCUCUGAUUUUUUUUUUUUUUUUUUUUUUUUUUUUUUUUUUUUUUUUUGUNNNNNNNNNNNNNNNNNNNNNNNNNNNNNNNNNNNNNNNNNNNNNNNNNNNNNNNNNNNNNNNNNNNNNNNNNNNNUUUUGUUGUGUGGUGGUAGAUUUUCUGUGGGUGCUAAUGUGUGGGUGGUGGUGGAUUUUGUGAUAUAAAAUUUGUUUGGAAGCUGAGAAAAUGUGAAAAAUUGGUAGGAAAAUAGUAUUUUUAGAAUAUUAACAAACACCAUAAUUGAUUUUCUAUAAAACGAAUUCCAAGACAGCUAAACAACCUGAAUACAUUUUCCUUUCCUGAAAAUAGCAUUUACGAAAAAUAUUUAUUUUCCAGAAAAUAUUUUACAUAAACCAAACACAGCCUAAAUGACCUAAGAAAUGUGACCCAAUGCACAUCAUUAUGAAUUGUAUCUUUCAAAAACCGGUGUGAUCUAAUGACUGAACUUUCUGCAUUCCAAUCAUCAUAGGUUGCCACUACUUGUGGAAAAAAUCCAGAUUUCAACUAGUGAUUAAAAUGUUUUCCAAUUAUUGAGCGCAACAACUAGACAUUUGCCCUAGAGUGUGCACAUGGACACUUACGCACUACAACUUGAGAUUGAAAAUCAAAAGAACAAUAUUAGAGAUGUGCCUAACUUUUUUACAUGGACUCACACUAGUAAUAUCAUUUUAUUAUACAUCUAUCAUAACAUAUCAUCUCCACUGUUGUAAAAGAAAUUGUGAAAAAAUUUAUAUCCUAAACUUAUUGAAAUUAAACCAAAAAAGAGUCAUUGGAUAGGAUAUUUAAAUCCAAAAUAUAUUGCCCGCCUUAAAAUUCCUUCUGCUAGAUAAUGAAAUCCACUAUCCAUAUUGCCAUUAGGAUAUCACUUCACCUAAUUCUUCUUACCUGCAAUUCUCCUGGAGUCUCAACUACAAUUCCUGUAUAUGUAGCGUCUAAGAUGCAAUUUCUUCUUUGCUAAAGAAAGAUCACUAUAAGGAAAUGGAAUACUCUGUUGUUCCUGUCAAUGAUAAAGCUACGUAUCAACUCAAACCAUAUUGAAGAAACCACUAUGUAUGCAUAUGGUCCUUUCCUUAUUACAGCAUUAUUAGUCCCAUAAAAAUGAUGAAAAUGUUGAUUCUUAACCAGUUCUUGAAAGCUUAAAGGAUUAUAAAUAGAUUGGCACUAUGUAGUUUCCGGCAGCACAAUUAACCUCCUAGCCCCAUAAUCAUAUUCUCAUCCCAGUCCCUUAUGGAAAAAAAAAAUAUCACCCCUGCGGCCUCCAACACAUGGAAACUUCAUUACUGUUCUUAGCAUUGAUGGAGGUGGAAUAAGGGGGAUUAUUCCAGGAAUCAUACUUAGCUUCCUUGAUUCUGAGUUACAGGUUACAAUAUUGUUAUAUACCAGCCAGUUGGCACAUGUCAUCUAUGUGUAUAAAGUUGAAAUAUUAGUUUUCAAUCUAAAGUUCUUAUUUAAUAGGAAAAAGAAAUCAAUCAUUGGUAGCUUGCAUAAUUGCUUUUUUUUUCCAAAUAAAAAAUGGGUUUAAUUAGUAACUUUCAUCCCAAUAUAGUCACUUACAAGCCAUGCGUGUAGAUUAACUUCCAGAAGACCAUUUGACAAGCUUGAGCUUUAUAAAAAUUGACUAAAGUGGUACUACAUGUAAGUUAUUCAAAAUAGUAAUGGCAAUUAACAUAUGACUAUUUCUUUCACAUGGUUUUUUUUACAAUUUUUACCUUGUGGUGCAGAAAAUUGAUGGCCCUGAAGCUAGAGUUGCAGAUUAUUUUGAUGUGAUCGCAGGGACAAGCACAGGAGGUCUUUUGACUACCAUGCUAACUGCACCAAAUGAAAACAAACGCCCCAUGUAUGCUGCAAAAGACAUCAAGGCCUUCUAUUUUGAUAAUGGACCUUGCUAGAUAAUGAAAUCCACUAUCCAUAUUGCCAUUAGGAUAUCACUUCACCUAAUUCUUCUUACCUGCAAUUCUCCUGGAGUCUCAACUACAAUUCCUGUAUAUGUAGCGUCUAAGAUGCAAUUUCUUCUUUGCUAAAGAAAGAUCACUAUAAGGAAAUGGAAUACUCUGUUGUUCCUGUCAAUGAUAAAGCUACGUAUCAACUCAAACCAUAUUGAAGAAACCACUAUGUAUGCAUAUGGUCCUUUCCUUAUUACAGCAUUAUUAGUCCCAUAAAAAUGAUGAAAAUGUUGAUUCUUAACCAGUUCUUGAAAGCUUAAAGGAUUAUAAAUAGAUUGGCACUAUGUAGUUUCCGGCAGCACAAUUAACCUCCUAGCCCCAUAAUCAUAUUCUCAUCCCAGUCCCUUAUGGAAAAAAAAAAUAUCACCCCUGCGGCCUCCAACACAUGGAAACUUCAUUACUGUUCUUAGCAUUGAUGGAGGUGGAAUAAGGGGGAUUAUUCCAGGAAUCAUACUUAGCUUCCUUGAUUCUGAGUUACAGGUUACAAUAUUGUUAUAUACCAGCCAGUUGGCACAUGUCAUCUAUGUGUAUAAAGUUGAAAUAUUAGUUUUCAAUCUAAAGUUCUUAUUUAAUAGGAAAAAGAAAUCAAUCAUUGGUAGCUUGCAUAAUUGCUUUUUUUUUCCAAAUAAAAAAUGGGUUUAAUUAGUAACUUUCAUCCCAAUAUAGUCACUUACAAGCCAUGCGUGUAGAUUAACUUCCAGAAGACCAUUUGACAAGCUUGAGCUUUAUAAAAAUUGACUAAAGUGGUACUACAUGUAAGUUAUUCAAAAUAGUAAUGGCAAUUAACAUAUGACUAUUUCUUUCACAUGGUUUUUUUUACAAUUUUUACCUUGUGGUGCAGAAAAUUGAUGGCCCUGAAGCUAGAGUUGCAGAUUAUUUUGAUGUGAUCGCAGGGACAAGCACAGGAGGUCUUUUGACUACCAUGCUAACUGCACCAAAUGAAAACAAACGCCCCAUGUAUGCUGCAAAAGACAUCAAGGCCUUCUAUUUUGAUAAUGGACCCAAAAUCUUUCCUCAAGAUCGGUAACAAUUGAGCCUCAAUGUUUUUCAUGCUAUCACUAUGUCUUAUUUCAUAUUAAAUAACACUAUACUAAUCUGCUUAAGCAACAGUUCCCCAUUUGCGCAAGCAACAAAAUUGAUCAAAGCCAUAACAGGACCAAAAUACGAUGGAAAGUAUCUUCAUAGCCUUCUGAAGGAAAAACUAGGGAAUACUCAAUUACGCCACACACUGACCAAUGUGGUAAUCCCAACCUUUGACAUCAAACAACUCCAGCCAGCCAUUUUCUCCAGCUAUGAGGUUUUUAAAUUAAUCCAAGUUUUUAACUUUACCUGAAAUUAAUCCAGUCUAAUGAGAAGGAAUUAACACUUCACAUAAACAAAAAUGAACUAACAUAUAUUUGUAUCCAUGCCUUAAUUAGGUGAAGAACCAUGCACACUUUGAUGCCUUACUUUCAGAUAUAUGCAUCGGAACCUCAGCUGCCCCAACAUAUUUCCCUGCCCAUAAUUUUGAUACCAAAGACUCAACUGGAAGAGUGAGAAAAUUCAAUCUUAUUGAUGGUGGUGUAGCUGCUAAUAAUCCGGUAAUGAGUUUAGUAUACGUCGCUUUUUUAUUCUCUCUGAAAUCAUACUCUCUUAUCAAUAUCAUUGUCUAAUUCUCAUAUGAUUCUCUAGACUUUGAUUGCCAUUGGCGAAGUGACAAAAGAGAUUAACCGGGGGAGUCCUAACUUCAGUUCCAUAAAGACAGCAGAUUAUGGUCGAUUUCUGGUUCUAUCACUAGGAACUGGUUCAGCAAAAGUUGAAGAGAAAUACACUGCCAAAGAAGCAUCUCGGUGGGGUAUAUUCGGGUGGUUAACUAGUGGUCACUCUGCCCCAUUGGUGAAUGUGUUCACUCAAGCAAGUCCUGAUAUAGUGGACUUUCAACUUUCUGUUGUUUUUAAAGCUCUCGAUAGUGAAAAUAACUACCUCCGAAUUCAGGUAAUAAUUAAACUUCAAUGCUUAAGUCCAAUGUGGGCAGAUACUACUAUACACAAGUUUUAUUAAAUUCAGUAUUUCAUUGAUUGAUUUUAACUGAUGCCUUGAGUCCAAAAAGUGCAAGGGAUGUAACUUGAUAGUCAAUACCCAUGUUUGGCACAUUAAUAUGAGAGUGACAAAUUAGUUACCACUUGUUCUAAAAGUUUAAGUCUAUAGAAAAAGACAACUUUAAUCAUUUAAAAAUUAUUUUAACAUUGACAUUUCAGGAUGAUACACUGAAGGGAGAAGUGUCUUCUGUUGAUAUUUCCACCAAGGAGAAUAUGGAAAAUCUUGCAAAGUUGCAGAAGGAUUAUUAA